rnacentral:rRNA from 1 species
AGAUUGAACGUUGGCGGCAUGCCUUACACAUGCAAGUCGAACGCGAAAGCGGGGCAACCCGCAAGUAGAGUGGCGAACGGGUGAGUAAUACAUCGGAACAUUUCCAGUAGCGGGGGAUAACCUGUCGAAAGAUAGGCUAAUACCGCAUACGACCUAAGGGUGAAAGCGGAGGACCGCAAGGCUUCGCACUAUUGGAGUGGCCGAUGUCGGAUUAGCUAGUUGGCGGGGUAACAGCCCACCAAGGCUACGAUCCGUAGCUGGUCUGAGAGGACGAUCAGCCACACUGGAACUGAGACACGGUCCAGACUCCUACGGGAGGCAGCAGUGGGAAUUUGGACAAUGGGCGCAAGCCUGAUCCAGCCAUCGCCGCGUGAGUGAAGA